rnacentral:rRNA from 1 species
CACGUAGGGUGCAAGCGUUGUCCGGAAUUAUUGGGCGUAAAGAGUUCGUAGGCGGUCUGUCGCGUCGGGCGUGAAAACCUGCAGCUUAACUGUGGGCUUGCGGUCGAUACGGGCAUGACUGGAGUUCGGUAGGGGAGACUGGAAUUCCUGGUGUAGCGGUGAAAUGCGCAGAUAUCAGGAGGAACACCGGUGGCGAAGGCGGGUCUCUGGGCCGAUACUGACGCUGAGGAACGAAAGCGUGGGGAGCGAACAGG